GGAUGUGAGGGUGAUCUGGCUGCAACAUCUGUCACUCUGUUGAUGGCCAGGGUUAAUUCAGCUGAUUUGGCUGCAUCUCUCCUGAAACUGCAUGCCUGGUCGAAGAGGAUGACCAUCCCCAAUAGAAGAAGACCAGUCUUUGGUCAAGGGUAUACGAGUAUCUGCGCUGCCUUGCUAGAACUCCCAAACAAGCCCUCAAAAUAGAUGCUUGAUAAAUAGCUGUAGGUUGAAAAAGAAAAGCAUCCGCCAAUGCUUGUUACCAUGUGGAAUCCCAGGC
rnacentral:snRNA from 1 species